GACGAACGCUGGCGGCGUGCUUAACACAUGCAAGUCGAACGCGCCUGUCCUCUGGGUUUCUGGGGGGUGGGUGAGUGGCGAACGGGUGAGUAACACGUGAGUAACCUGCCCCCUUCUUCGGGAUAACGGUCUGAAAGGGCUGCUAAUACCGGGUAUUCACUGGUCUCCGCAUGGGGUCUGGUGGAAAGGUUUUUUUCUGGUGGGGGAUGGGCUCGCGGCCUAUCAGCUUGUUGGUGGGGUGAUGGCCCACCAAGGCUUUGACGGGUAGCCGGCCUGAGAGGGUGACCGGUCACAUUGGGACUGAGAUACGGCCCAGACUACUACGGGAGGCAGCAGUGGGGAAGAUUGCACAAUGGGCGCAAGACUGAUGCAGCGACGCCGCGUGAGGGAUGGAGGCCUUCGGGUUGUGAACCUCUUUCGCCCGUGGUCAAGCCGCGACGUGGGUCGUGGUGAGGGUAGUGGGUAAAGAAGCGCCGGCUAACUACGUG
rnacentral:rRNA from 1 species